rnacentral:rRNA from 1 species
UACGUAGGGUGCGAGCGUUGUCCGGAAUUAUUGGGCGUAAAGGGCUCGUAGGCGGUUUGUCGCGUCGGGAGUGAAAACCAGGUGCUUAACACCUGGCUUGCUUUCGAUACGGGCAGACUAGAGGUAUUCAGGGGAGAACGGAAUUCCUGGUGUAGCGGUGAAAUGCGCAGAUAUCAGGAGGAACACCGGUGGCGAAGGCGGUUCUCUGGGAAUGACCUGACGCUGAGGAGCGAAAGCGUGGGGAGCAAACAGG